AAUAUAUUCACCUGUAAUUACUCCCGAAAAAUGAAACGCUAAUUAGCCUCUAAUGUGGCUAUCAUUCAGAACUACACAUCCUGUUGCAAACUUUGACAUCGUCACUCAAGGCGCAGGGUGGGGAAAAACCUCCACAUUUCUCCAUGCAAACUCUCAUAGACAAGUAACCUAGCAAGUAGAUAUUAUAGCCUUUUUAGUUUCUUGUUAAAUACUCUGGCAUUUGUUGCUAACUAGCUAACCUUAGGUCUCUCCGUCGAUCAGAAGCAAGGAUGGUAACCACAACUCUGAUAAGCACAUGUGCAUUUUAUCGUUUUCCAACUACUGUAAGCGAGAGGCAUCAAUGGAGCUGUUUGAUAAGAAACCCAGUGACAACACUCGGGUCUGCAGCUGCUAUUUUCCGGUGGGAAAGAUAAAUGGCCCUGUAUUUACCAGAAAAGGAAGCUCAUCCACCAUGACAGAAGAGGAAGAUCCAGACUGUUGAUUGGGAAACCAGAACAAACAAUGAGACACAUGAGGAUCGGGUUUUGAGGGACCACUUGUCACAUUGUCCAAGUCCCAACAGGAGUGCAUCCCUCAGACCAUCCGGUGCAUGGACAUCCUGUGCCAGUGUGAUCCGAGUGAGUGUGUCCAGUUGUGGAGACUACAGCACAUCGAGCCUGUGGAUGGACAGCUCGACAUGAGGUGUAACACGCGUAACAUCAUGUUCACCCCAUGAGAGGCAGUGCAUGAUCAACACCACACUCAACAAGGAGAUCUGCUGGAAGGGGUGUACUCUCUCUCACACUCUGGGGGGAACUAACAGGAGGAGCAAUAUGAGUCUGUCAGAGGUUGUCACGCUGGAUGGUGAUUGAGGCUUUGGUGGUCCAUGACAAUGAAGAAGCAGGUGUCCCUUCCAUUGAUAUGGAGCUGACCUUGGACCUGGUGUCAGUAAGGAUGGUCUUCACGGACACGUUAAGACCCUCCCUCCUUGAUAGAGAAAUCCUUUGACUUCACUGCCUCUUCAAUGGUAAGGUCCCUUGCACCAUAACAAUGUCCGGUACUGACAGGGAGGGUAGCGGUUGUUCUGUCUCAGGUUGAAGGAGACAUGCCAUUCCACUGAACCUGCCCCGGAGACAGUUCCUUAGCCACUGAAGAUCCUCCACUGUCGGCUCUCGGGACAGAGAGUUUUAGUCUUCAGCCGGGUACAGGUCCUCCACUGACUGCGCCUGGUUAGGCCCGGCUGGCUUCCUUCAGUCGCAUUCCACAUCCGUACGGACGAUAUUGUGAACCGCCAAAAUAGGCUGAAUGGCUACACUUAUGAGCUCCACAGAGGCAUUCACAUGUGGUAGAGAGAAUCCCUUUGUCACCUAUAGAGACCUGCCAAGAAGAAGGAAGUUAGGUGUCACAUGCCUUUCAAUGCAUUUGUUGUAAGAAAUGUGCUAUAUAAAUAUUUUCAUUUGAUUCAUGUCAUUACAGCUGUAGAAUAUUUAAUAAACUGUCAUUUUCACAUGA